CAGUCGCCGCGGUAAUACGAAGGGGGCUAGCGUUGUUCGGAAUUACUGGGCGUAAAGCGCACGUAGGCGGAUCGAUCAGUCAGGGGUGAAAUCCCAGAGCUCAACUCUGGAACUGCCUUUGAUACUGUCGAUCUGGAGUAUGGAAGAGGUGAGUGGAAUUCCGAGUGUAGAGGUGAAAUUCGUAGAUAUUCGGAGGAACACCAGUGGCGAAGGCGGCUCACUGGUCCAUUACUGACGCUGAGGUGCGAAAGCGUGGGGAGCAAACAGGAUUAGAUACCCGUGUAGUCCCUGUCUCUUAUAC
rnacentral:rRNA from 1 species